UCCCUGGUGGCUCAGACGGUAAAGAAUCUGCCUGCUGUGCAGGAGACCAGGGUUCGAUCCCUGGUUUGGGAA
rnacentral:tRNA from 1 species